ACAAAACGAGUUAAUUGAUGUCGA
rnacentral:siRNA from 1 species